UACAGAGGGUGCAAGCGUUGUUCGGAAUUAUUGGGCGUAAAGGGCGCGUAGGCGGUGCGGUAAGUCUGUAGUGAAAUCUCUGGGCUCAACUCAGAGUCUGCUGCAGAAACUGCCGUGCUUGAGUGUGGGAGAGGUGAGUGGAAUUCCCGGUGUAGCGGUGAAAUGCGUAGAUAUCGUGAGGAACACCUGUGGCGAAAGCGGCUCACUGGACCACAACUGACGCUGAGGCGCGAAAGCUAGGGGAGCAAACAGG
rnacentral:rRNA from 1 species